rnacentral:rRNA from 1 species
CAUGUUUUUCUUAUCAAAGCUCCGGCGGUACAGGAUGGACCCGCGUCUGAUUAGCUAGUUGGUGAGGUAAUGGCUCACCAAGGCGACGAUCAGUAGCCGACCUGAGAGGGUGAUCGGCCACAUUGGAACUGAGACACGGUCCAAACUCCUACGGGAGGCAGCAGUGGGGAAUAUUGCACAAUGGGCGAAAGCCUGAUGCAGCAACGCCGCGUGAGCGAUGAAGGCCUUCGGGUCGUAAAGCUCUGUCCUCAAGGAAGAUAAUGACGGUACUUGAGGAGGAAGCCCCGGCUAACUACGUGCCAGCAGCCGCGGUAAUACGUAGGGGGCUAGCGUUAUCCGGAUUUACUGGGCGUAAAGGGUGCGUAGGCGGUCUUUUAAGUCAGGAGUGAAAGGCUACGGCUCAACCGUAGUAAGCUCUUGAAACUGGAGGACUUGAGUGCAGGAGAGGAGAGUGGAAUUCCUAGUGUAGCGGUGAAAUGCGUAGAUAUUAGGAGGAACACCAGUAGCGAAGGCGGCUCUCUGGACUGUAACUGACGCUGAGGCACGAAAGCGUAGGGAGCAAACAGGAUUAGAUACCCUGGUAGUCCACGCCGUAAACGAUGAAUAGUAGCUGUCGGAGGUUACCCCCUUCGGUGGCGCAG